GGUUGAUCCUGCCGGAGGCCACUGCUAUUGGGGUUCGACUAAGCCAUGCGAGUCUAUGGACUUCGGUCCAUGGCGGACGGCUCAGUAACACGUGGCUAACCUACCCUCAGGUGGGGGAUAACCUCGGGAAACUGAGGGUAAUACCCCAUAGGGGAAGAGGUCUGGAAUGAUCCUUCCUUGAAAGGACAUCCGCCUGAGGAUGGGGCUGCGUCCGAUUAGGUAGUUGGUGGGGUAAUGGCCCGCCAAGCCUACGACCGGUACGGGCCUUGAGAGAGGAAGCCCGGAGAUGGGGACUGAGACACGGCCCCAGGCCCCACAGGGCGCAGCAGGCGCGAAACCUCCACAAUGCACGAAAGUGCGAUGGGGGAACCCCAAGUGCCUAUGCACAGCAUAGGCUUUUCCCAAGUGUAAACAGCUUGGGGAAUAAGGGCUGGGCAAGUCCGGUGCCAGCAGCCGCGGUAACACCGGCGGCCCGAGUGGUGGCCACUCUUAUUGGGCCUAAAGCGUCCGUAGCCGGUCCAGUAAGUCCCUGUUUAAAUCCUACGGCUCAACCGUAGGGCUGGCAGGGAUACUGCUGGACUUGGGACCGGGAGAGAACGAGGGUACUCCAGGGGUAGCG
rnacentral:rRNA from 1 species